UCGAAGCUACCAGCAUGAGUUUGACCAAACUGCGGGAGGCAGUGGAAGAAAGGAGUGCCUGGCGUGCUCUAGUCCAGGGGGUCACGAAGAGUCGGACACGACUAAACAACAACAACAAGCCUCGUUGAGUUUAAUGGGACUCAUAACUCCAUUAAGCCUGGGACUGAUGGAAGUUUUGGUUGACAAUCAUUUGUAGGGUACUAGGUUGGUAAAGGCUGCUCUGGUGGGUUUGAUUAGUAGCGGAGUCUUCCUUUCUCCUCUCCUUCCUUCAGUCUGUUAUGUCUCCUUUUGGACUGUAGGUGGAGAUAUUAGCCCAGGUAUCCCUUCUGCCCCCGGCUUGUUGCUUUCACAUCUCUAAAUUAAUAUCUCUAAAUCCACGCACCUUGGUUUAGCAUCCUGGCAGAAAGAUGUUCUGCAAGCGAGGGGCAAGUGGGACAUCUGCAUGCCGCAUUACGCAGUGAAGAGGUCUUUAUUCUCAGGAACUGGGCCUUUAUUGUUGUGGCAACUACCCUUUGGGACUCCCCUUACAGAUUAGACAGCCACCUCUAUUGUCUUUUCUACAUGAAUUGAAUACUUUCUUCUUCAGCUAUCCCACUUGUCUGCUUCUGUAGUGGAACUAUUUUUUUUUUGUUAUAUCUGUUUUCAUAUGUGGAAUCGUUUUAAAAUGUCCACAUUGUUGCUAUAUAUAGAAUUGCUUUAUAAAUGGAACUUUUUUUUUACAGUUUUUGAUGGUUACGAUGCUUUAUCUGUAUAUAUUUUAUUGUUGUAACCCACCCUGUAUCUUGUAUAAAGGGUGAAUAAGAAAUCUAACAAAUCAAUAAAUUAUACAAAUGUCACAAA